AGAGUUUGAUCCUGGCUCAGGACGAACGCUGGCGGCGUGCUUAACACAUGCAAGUCGAACGGAAAGGCCCUUCGGGGUACUCGAGUGGCGAACGGGUGAGUAACACGUGGGUGAUCUGCCCUGCAAUUUGGGAUAAGCCUGGGAAACUGGGUCUAAUACCGAAUAUGACCACGCUCUUCAUGGGGUGUGGUGGAAAGCUUUUGCGGUGUGGGAUGGGCCCGCGGCCUAUCAGCUUGUUGGUGGGGUGAUGGCCUACCAAGGCGACGACGGGUAGCCGGCCUGAGAGGGUGACCGGCCACACUGGGACUGAGAUACGGCCCAGA
rnacentral:rRNA from 1 species